UACAGAGGUCUCAAGCGUUGCUCGGAAUCAUUGGGCGUAAAGCGCACGUAGGCGGCGCGUUAAGUCGGGUGUGAAAGCCCUGGGCUCAACCCAGGAAGUGCAUUCGAAACUGGCGCGCUUGAAUAUGGAAGAGGGUCGCGGAAUUCCCGGUGUAGAGGUGAAAUUCGUAGAUAUCGGGAGGAACACCAGUGGCGAAGGCGGCGACCUGGGCCAAUAUUGACGCUGAGGUGCGAAAGCGUGGGGAGCAAACAGG
rnacentral:rRNA from 1 species